rnacentral:rRNA from 1 species
GAUGAACGCUAGCGACAGGCUUAACACAUGCAAGUCGAGGGGCAGCGGGGUAGUGCUUGCACUACUGCCGGCGACCGGCGCACGGGUGAGUAACACGUAUGGAACCUGCCCGCAGCAGGGGGAUAAGCGGAAGAAAUUCCGUCUAAUACCGCGUAACAACGUUGGGAGGCAUCUCCCGAUGUUUAAAGAUUUAUCGGCUGCGGAUGGCCAUGCGGCGCAUUAGCUAGUCGGCGGGGUAACGGCCCACCGAGGCGACGAUGCGUAGGGGUUCUGAGAGGAAGGUCCCCCACACUGGUACUGAGACACGGACCAGACUCCUACGGGAGGCAGCAGUGAGGAAUAUUGGUCAAUGGCCGAGAGGCUGAACCAGCCAAGUCGCGUGAGGGAUGACGGCCCUACGGGUUGUAAACCUCUUUUGUCGGGGAGCAAAGGGAGUCACGUGUGACUCACUGAGAGUACCCGAAGAAAAAGCAUCGGCUAACUCCGUGCCAGCAGCCGCGGUAAUACGGAGGAUGCGAGCGUUAUCCGGAUUUAUUGAGUUUAAAGGGUGCGCAGGCGGAGGUGCAAGUCAGCGGUCAAAUUGCGGGGCUCAACCCCGUACUGCCGUUGAAACUGCAUCCCUUGAGUGCGCGAGAAGUAUGCGGAAUGCGUGGUGUAGCAGUGAAAUGCAUAGAUAUCACGCAGAACUCCGAUUGCGAAGGCAGCAUACCGGCGCGCAACUGACGCUCAUGCACGAAAGCGUGGGUAUCGAACAGGAUUAGAUACCCUGGUAGUCCACGCAGUAAACGAUGAACACUAACUGUUCGGCCAGAAUGAUGGCUGAGUGGUACAGCGAAAGCGUUAAGUGUUCCACCUGGGGAGUACGCCGGCAACGGUGAAACUCAAAGGAAUUGACGGGGGCCCGCACAAGCGGAGGAACAUGUGGUUUAAUUCGAUGAUACGCGAGGAACCUUACCCGGGCUCAAACGACACAGGAAUACUUUUGAAAGGAGGUAGCCCUACGGGGUCUGUGUCGAGGUGCUGCAUGGUUGUCGUCAGCUCGUGCCGUGAGGUGUCGGCUUAAGUGCCAUAACGAGCGCAACCCCUAUCGCCAGUUGCCAUCAAGUAAAGUUGGGGACUCUGGCGAGACUGCCGGCGCAAGCUGUGAGGAAGGCGGGGAUGACGUCAAAUCAGCACGGCCCUUACGUCCGGGGCGACACACGUGUUACAAUGGCAGGUACAGAGAGAAGCCAGGUGGCGACACCGAGCGGAACUCGAAAGCCUGUCUCAGUUCGGAUCGGAGUCUGCAACCCGACUCCGUGAAGCUGGAUUCGCUAGUAAUCGCGCAUCAGCCAUGGCGCGGUGAAUACGUUCCCGGGCCU